UACAGAGGGGGCAAGCGUUGUUCGGAAUUACUGGGCGUAAAGGGCGCGUAGGCGGCCUUCUAAGUCGAACGUGAAAUCCCCGGGCUCAACCCGGGAACUGCGUCCGAUACUGGAAGGCUUGAAUCCGGGAGAGGGAUGCAGAAUUCCAGGUGUAGCGGUGAAAUGCGUAGAUAUCACACAGAACACCGAUUGCGAAGGCAGCUGGCCAACUUGUAACUGACGCUGAGGGACGAAAGUGUGGGGAUCAAACAGG
rnacentral:rRNA from 1 species